UCUCUAUAUAGCCUUGACUGCCAUGGAACUUUGUAGACCAGGCUGGCUUCAAAGUCAGAUCUGCUUCCCUCUGCCGAGCUCUGGCAUUAGAGGCUCACGAGCGCUACCACCACCUAGCUUAUACCUGAUAUGUUAAUUGCAAUCCGACUACACUUUUAUCCAUUUUUGAGACAGCCUCAGUAUAUAUCCCAGACUGGACUGGGACUCAGGAGCCUCUGACUUGGUAUUGUGAUUACUGGAAUUAGAGACAUACCAGUGAGAGGGCUUGGAGAAAGUUUCUAUUGGAACCUUUUUAUUUUUAUUUUUUAAAUUCUUAAAUGUUUUUAUUUUUGCUGUUUGUGUUUGUGCAUGUGUGUCGGUAUAUGAGCAUGAGUGUUGGCCCUCUGAGACCAAAGACUAAAAGGGGAGGAUGCCAGUGCGGGUGCAAAGCAAGGAACUGAACCUGAGUCCUUCUGGAGCAGCAAGUGUUCAGAUGAAAAGCCGUCUCUGCAGCCAUCUAGGAUGUGCUGAAUGUGUGUCUGCAUCAUGUGUAUGCAAUGCCUAUGGAGACC
rnacentral:sRNA from 1 species